UAGAAUGUUUCGCGGGUAAAAUUGAUUAUAAACGAAAGUUUGUUUACAAAUACAAAUUGUAUUUAUCGAAUCUUUUAAAUGUUGUUAAUAAAUUAAUACUUAUAUCGAAGAUGUUAGAAAUGUCAAAAUAUGUUGAAGACAUUUCUUCAAAGCCAACUGCAAAGGAACAAAAUGCUGAAUUACAGGUUUUAGAUGAUUUAUUAAAAUGUCCAUCAUGUUAUGAUUAUAUGAACACAGCUAUGAUUCUUCCAAAUUGUCAACAUAAUUAUUGUUCUUUGUGUAUAAGAAAAUAUUUAUGUUAUAAAACACAAUGUCCUACAUGUUCAGCUUCUGCUACUGGACCAGAACUACGAAAUAAUCGAUUAUUGGAUAGUGUUAUUGAACAAUAUAAAAAACUAAG